rnacentral:lncRNA from 1 species
AAUUCCUCCAAAUGCCAAAUGAGAGAAUCAUCUCUUCUGCUGUUGGAAAGUUGCUUUCAUUUAAAACAGGAUCUUGCAAAUUUUGAGGAGGAAAAUGCCAAGUGAGAGAGGGCUCGUGUGGUUAGAGGAUGCUAGUUUCAAAAUGGUAUUUGGAUCAUGGAAAAGCAAUGCAAGGUUUGGUCUUUAGGGUGUUUUUUGUUGACUAUUUUUGAAAUGCCCAGUAAGGUGAGCUUUUUGAAU